rnacentral:lncRNA from 1 species
CAUGGACAGAGUUGGUGUCUUUUUACUUAAUGUUGUAUGUCCCCAAGCAUUUAAUUAAGUGGUAUGCACCCAUUAGGCGCUCAAUACUGUUGAUGGUGGUCAGCAGAGUAAAAUAUUGGGGCUGUACUAAUCCACCGGUUUCCAUUCCUAGCCCAAAUUAUUUUUAAGUUAUCGAGUUUAUGUGAUUGAUUCAUUUCUUAGGAUUGAGUUCAUUCAGUGUGAUGGGUGAAAGCAAAUGCAGUGAAUGACCAAAUUGUUCCCUUCCUUCCACCUACUUGCCAGUUCUUAUUUGAAGCACUCAGAGUUUCCUGCCCAAGAGCCCAGCAGCAAAUAGAAUCAAACAUAUUGCCUGCAGCACCAUGGAAAAGAGACCGGGCCGUGAUGGAGAUCAAAUCUACUCCGUCGGGUAGGAUCCUCAAUAAAUACCACUGAUUGAGUGAUUGCCCAGGUGGACACCGGAAUGAUAUUUCAAUCUGCCAUUUGGUUUAUGACAAGACAGUGCUUGAAAAUUUAUGAAGAAAGGAGGGAGGGGCCGUGGCCGAUCCCAGAACUGCCCGUGGACUGGACAGCCCGGCUCAGCCCAGUCCUGCCCAGAGGAAAGGAAAACAGUCUAACCACGGGAUGCUCUUCCAGCCUCCAUUCCGGGCAGACCUGCAGACCCCGACCAGGGUCCCAGAGGGACCAAAGGGCUGAGGUGGGCACUGGGGAGGAGGGGCAGAUCUGGGUGAAGGGAAACUUUC